rnacentral:lncRNA from 1 species
AGGAGGCGAUGGGUUGUUAAGAUGAGAAGGCCUGAUUUCAGAGGAGCAAAAUCGGAGCUGCUGCUGCUGCUACUGCCAGCGUUGUCUUCCGAUUCGAGGUCCACGGCUGAGAGAAGUUGGCACUCGACCUCGUCGGACUGGAGGACUGGACGGCCGCUUGUUGUGACGGAUGCCGGCGGGAAGAAGUUGUGCGGUGGCGUUGCCAUCUGAGUCUGUGAUCGGUAGAGUAAUUCCCCCGGGUUUGACUGGAAGUGGGUCUCGUGCUCUCGUUGCUGCUCUCGUUGGAAGAGAAGAAAUUGGCGUCAAAAUCUGGCGCAAAUGGAAGUUGGGUCUCAGUUAGCAAUUACUCUACAGUCUCGUCUAUAAGAUUGUAGAUUAGUGACUUAACUUUUUAAAUUUCUUAAUCGAUUCUACGGGUGGUGGGGCAUGGCCGUUCUUAGUUGGUGAAGCUUAAUUCCCUUAACGAACUAGACCUAACCAUGCUAACAGCUACGCGGAGGCAUCUUUCAUGGCCAGCUUCUUAAAGGAAAUAUGGCCUUUUAGGCCGAAGAAAUUUGAGGCGAUACAAGUCUGUGACGCCCCUAAAUGUUGUCAGCCGCACGCAAACUUAAUCGUAGACAUGUGAUCAACAAUCUUAAGAGCUAUAUUGAUUUGUCAUUUGAAUCUUUUUGGAAUAGCGAAUGCAACCCAUUGCAGUUUCAGUCAAAACAAUUUCUAUGCACAUCGACUUCCUGAAACAAACAUCGGCAAGAGCAAAGCUUUAAGCUUUAAGACUUGCCACAACAGAAAAGCAAGCUAUCACAAGUUGGAAUCAUAUCCUUUACUGAAUACCACCUGACCUACAACAAUAUAGUUUGCUCAUCCUUCAGCGAAAUCAUUCGUAGCCACAACCAGGCAGGCUAAUCCAACCAUGAAGGAUCCUAAUGAUCAUCAAGGGAAGAAAUAAUAACGAUAUGAUUCUGAAGAAGAUAUAGAGCAACAGAUCUCAGGCAUUUAUAUUUCUCUAAACACCAAAAGACUAGCGUUACUGUAAAUCCAAAUAAACUGCCAGAAAACUCAUAAACUUCAGUUGCAAGUGAAACAAUAUCUCCAACCUCCAAAAACUACACUGAAACAAAACUUAGGAUAACAGAACAAUUCUGAAAGCAAAGGCCAAUGAAACUAUUUCUAAUCGAACAGGGAGAAACCCAUGUCAUCAUCGCUCUCCUCCUUGGCCUCCUCCUGCAAAACCAAUUAGAAACAAGAUCCCAGUAAAAAAAUGCAAAAAAUUCGAGCUAACAGCGACAAACAACAAUCAAAAGUUGACUAAAUUUACCUUCUUUUCCUCAGCAGCAGGGGCAGCAGCUGCAGCAGGAGCAGCACCACCAGCUGGGGCAGCGACGGCAGCAACAGCACCACCGCCGGAAGCACCAGCGUUCAAGAUGAGGUCCUCAACGUUACGCUUCUCAGCCAACUUGGCGAACAAGCUGGCCCAGUAAGACUCACAGUUGACAUUAGCAGCCUUAACCAAUGCGCUGAUCUUAUCCGCCUAUCAACAAACAAGACAAAAAAACCCUAAGCUCAUCUAGCUAAACAGAACAAUUGCAGACAAUGGUAUAUUGGUAUAUAAUCAUCAUAGAGAGUUAUAGAGGCGUACUGUGAUAGGGAUGCCCUCGUCGUGGAGGAUCAUGAUGGCGUAACUGCAGGCAAUCUCUCCGGUCGACAUUCUUUUCGAUAGCUAACAAGAAACGUUGAAAAAGAGAACGGAAAUCAAUAGAGGAUCGAAACCAUAGAAGAAUAUUCAAACUAUUAGGACGGAGAAAGAGUUAAAGAGGAGUGUAGAGGUAGAACGGCGAAGGACGGCGAUAAACUUACGUUGAUGAGAACGGCGGAAGAGGAGGAGUGCUCGGCGCUGCAACUGAAGCUAAUCUAGGGUUUCAAUAGCAAGGGCUUCCUCGUUGAGCUACGAUGUGAAAUAUAUACAUGAAAGGCAAGGGAGUUGGGCUUGUCCUCACGUUAUGUGCUUCAAUACUGAACGACUGCCAGGCCAGGCCCAUCAAUCGAGUUUCGCAUUAAGCCCAAUACAGAUGGCCAGUGUUUAAAUCAAUCAAUUUACUGACUCUCUAUUCAGACGGCGUUGUCCAGCCCAUUUCACUUCCUUUCCAAAAUUAUUUUUCAUUGUUAUCCAAAGUAGAAAAAUAAAAUGUUCGUUAGAUGUCGUCUGUAUUUUAUUAUGCUACAUUCUCUAUAUUAAGAAAAAUAUUAUGUGUGAUGUUUUAUUCAUCUGAAACGAAAAUAUUCACAAAGGAAAAAGUCGAUAUCAAAAUGGCGAGCUGAUUUUGCGGUUAAAACUUUUCAUUACUAUCACAACACGAGAUAAAUCUCAAUGAGAUACCCACUCAAAUAAAGAUGACGACAUUCCAAACUCAUUUAACCGAAAAAGAAAACAAAAAGAAACUAUAACAACAAAAAUCCAGAUCCAAAAGCCAAAAAAACUAAAAACUGAAGGAAACUAAGACAACAAGAAGAAAACCAAAAUAGUGCAAAGGAAGUGGAAAAGGUUCGUUGGAUUGGAUGGGAAACUCGCAGGAUUGCACGAACCCAGUCUAUACAACCUUUGUAUAGUCAAUUUGGUGGAUUAGCUUGAUGGAUACACCUAUCCAUUAUAAGAUGUAACUGAAUCGAAUCAUGAAACAUCCAAAUUACUAACAUACGACUCUACCAACUUAACUAUCCCAUUUAAACAUCAUCAAAAUAACCCUACAUUUUAAUUUCAUGACUUCGAUUGAUGUGUAUAUUAUGUUUACAGGUGUUUGUUGUCACUAACACAACUACAGGAGUUGGAAUUAAAUUAAAAAUAAAGAGUGGGUUGAAUAUUUGAAGGUACCGUAUGAGAGCAGAAGAGAGAGCCAAAAGUAGUAAAAUGUAAUUGGACAGAACAAUAAUGGCGAGAGAGUGAAAGACAAAGGGACAGACGCGAUCCCCUUAUCUUCCUUCUUUAUGGUAAGCUUUCCCCCCCUUUAUUUUCUCUCUGUUUCCUUCAACUUUCACACAUCAAUUUGCAGAGAAGAGCUUAGGUUUAUACAGCCUUUUUCUUUCUUCAACUGUCGGUUUCUACCACAGCUACACUAGCCCUGCCAGCGUUGUCUUCCGAUUCGAGGUCCACGGCUGAGAGAAGUUGGCACUCGACCUCGUCGGACUGGAGGACUGGUCGGCCGCUUGUUGUGACGGAUGCCGGCGGGAAGAAGUUGUGCGGUGGCGUUGCCAUCUGAGUCUGUGAUCGGUAGAGUAAUUCCCCCGGGUUUGACUGGAAGUGGGUCUCGUGCUCUCGUUGCUGCUCUCGUUGGAAGAGAAGAAAUUGGCGUCAAAAUCUGGCGCAAAUGGAAGUUGGGUCUCAGUUAGCAAUUAC